rnacentral:tRNA from 1 species
GGGCGUGUAGCUCACUGGUAGAGUGCAUGCUUAGCAAGCACAAGGUCCUGGGUUCAAUCCCUAGUACUUCCA